CGUGCUAGAGUAACUUGGUGGACGAGCAAUGCCGCCUGCGGAAUUCAGCCUUUAGUAGCUUGUGGUGCAUGCUUCCGACCGAAGGAAGGCGGCGUGCGGCCUAUGCCAUGAGUUAUUAUGGGUGCACUUUCUGCGGCGAACGCAAACAUCGGUUGGAGCGUCGACAAAUGGCUUGUCAGGAGUCGUCUCGAACUUCGGUUUGGGCACGAACUGACUUGUUCGGCUUGAUUGCUUCGACUGAGAUUGAACUCUGCCCGCAUGUUACCAUACUGAUUCUAUGGGGAGCGAUCGAACAUGUUGAUGUUUCUGCUGUAACAGGUAGAACGUUAGCGAACCUCGUUCUUCAACUGAGUUGGUUACUGGUGAUGGCAGAUAAGAUCCUUUGCGUCUGUGUCUCACACCCACCUAUAUCGUCUUGAAACACGAGCCGAGAAGUCUAACAGAUGCGCAAGUCAAUGGGUUUCAUACAAACCCCAUAGGCGAAAUGAAAGUAAAGUCGUGGCUUGCCCGACUAGCUGAGAUCCGUCAGCAAUGGCGGCGCAUCAGCGUCCCGUCUUAAGAUCCCUUCGGGGUAUCUGAGGCGGAGAUAGAGCGUAUCUGUUAGGACCCGAAAGAUGGUGAACUAUGCCUGUGUAGAA
rnacentral:rRNA from 1 species